UGGGGAAUUGUUCGCAAUGGGCGCAAGCCUGACGACGCAACGCCGCGUGGAGGACGAAGAUCUUCGGGUCGUAAACUCCUUUCGAUCGGGAAGAACGGCUUCCGGGUGAAUAAUCCGGGAGAGUGACGGUACCGGGAGAAUAAGCCACGGCUAACUCCGUGCCAGCAGCCGCGGUAAUACGGAGGGGGCUAGCGUUGUUCGGAAUUACUGGGCGUAAAGCGUACGUAGGCGGCUUUGUAAGUUAGAGGUGAAAGCCCGGAGCUCAACUCCGGAAUUGCCUUUAAGACUGCAUCGCUUGAAUCGUGGAGAGGUUAGUGGAAUUCCGAGUGUAGAGGUGAAAUUCGUAGAUAUUCGGAAGAACACCAGUGGCGAAGGCGGCUCACUGGCCCGGUACUGACGCUGAGGUGCGAAAGCGUGGGGAGCAAA
rnacentral:rRNA from 1 species